UUUUUCUACUGUCUGUUUGUCUGUCUGUUUGGCUGUUUCUACUGGUCAACUGUUAUGGCAGGUCCAUGGGGCUUUGGCUGUUUCUAUAGAUACCCCAACAUGCCUUGGGCUAUAAUGUUGCCCAUGGGAGAAGAUGGAUGGAUUUCUCUUUCUUUAUGGUUACCACUCCAUCUCAGCACUAAUGUAUUGCCCCAGGCUAGCACUGUGUGGUUGCCAUAGCUACUCGGUGUAAUGCAGUGUAUUGCGGUGGUGCUGUCUGGUUGCCAUGGCUACCUGGUUGGCGACAAGUUGUGGGUGGUGCUGGAGUGAAAGGAAGUAAAUAAUGUAAAGACAGAGAAGACCAUAAGGAAGCCUAAGGGACCUAGUAGUAGUAGUAGUAGUAGUAGUAGUAGUGGUAGUAAAGUAGUAAAGAUAGCCAAUUGGCAUAGAUUGGGGUCAUCAUAUCUAGUGUCUGUACUGAGCUUUUUUUUUUUUUUUUUUGCAACCUAUUAAUAUUAGUGUGUAAUUGCAGCAGUUAUUGAAAACUUUGAAAAUCUCUGGAAUUCCUGCACUCCAACCAGGUUAUUCACAAGGACAUCAAGAGCAACAACAUCCUACUGGGAAUGGACGGCUCCGUCAAACUCACUUGCUUCUAAAACGCACCUAGAUAUGUGAGUGCUGAUGUGAGCCUACACCAGCAGAGGGCACUGUGGUCACAUUGUACUUACAGAAGGUCUGACACAGAAAAUGAGUAUUGAGACUUAGAGAGCCACGGCACUGCAGAGUUUAGCAUUUUUCCUAUUUGAUGCUCAUUCUGAAGCUGAGGUGUUUCACCUACAAGUCUUGAUACCUUGAUAUUAGGCACUAAGAUCACCCCCGAACAGAGUAAGUGCAGCACCAUGGUCUGCACUUCGAACUGGAAUGGUCCCGGAAGUCGUAACCCACAAGGCUUAUGGACCCAAAGUAGACAUCUGGUCUCUGGGCAUUUCUAUAAUGGCUAUAGAGAUGAUUGAGGGAGAGCCUCCAUACCUCAGUGAGAAUCCUCUGAGGGAAUUGAUGCAAAUGAACACAGUGAUGUUUUUGUUGUUGGCGCUGUAUCUCAUUGCCACUAAUGGAACUCCAGAGCUGCAGAACCCAGAGAAUCUGUCAUCUGUUUUCCGAUAUUUCCUCAACCACUGUUUAGAGAUGGAUGUGGAGAAAAGAGGUUCUGCCAAAGAGCUUCUACAGCUGGUCAUGAUUCAUCACAGGGCAGCUGAACACACUUGGAAGAUUUUACGAAAGCACUAAAUAGCCUCUUUUUAAUACACAAGCUCACAAAAGCCCGAUGAUUACUUACUGUCAUUCUGAUUGACUGAGGAAAGAGCAAUGCUGUCCUUAUGGCUCUCUUCAACUUCCAGCCACAGACGAGAGGUGUGCAUUGGGACUGGGAUCUCACAGGAUGCAGCAAAAAAAGUCAUUGGAACAGGCGGUUUUUACUUUCAUGCAUGUGAAGGUCAUGGGGCAAAGAAGGACCACGCCAAUUAACAUUGGAGCAUAUUGGGCAUAGCAGAUUGCUCAGGCGGCGUGUUUACAGAGUUCAUUCAAUUAUGUUCAAAGAAUUAUAGACGAAGACUAAAUGUUAUUGGUGGAGGACAAACAAACCUGAUGGAGGACAAACAGUAGAGAACGAUAGAAAUUCUACAGGCUCAUUCAAGAGCAUAAACAUUUCUGACUGUUGUCUGCAGAUUUUUGGUUGGUGGAUUGUCACUCCACCCAGAAUUCCUCCUGACCCACCAUGUCAGGGCCACAUCUGUUCUGAGAAUGAUAAACCACUCAAAUAAUAUCAGUGGUGAUCCCUUUCCAAAUAUGGGUUGCAUAUCCAAUGCUAUUACACACUACUUAAUAUUUUCACUCAUUGCCCAUUUAAUCAUGCAUACAUAUGAUGUAGAUCACUUAUACCUAUAAGCGAUCUACAUCAUAUGUAUGCAUGAUAAAAUGGGCAAUGAGUGGAAAAUAUUAAGUUGGUGUGUCUAAUAAAUUAGCGUAGUAACUAGCCUAGUCCAAAUAUUAAUGCAACCUAGAAGAAAUGGAAAUAAAUAUCUGAUCUCUAAACUGACAUUUGUCCAUGUUGUACUUUUGAAUUUCUGAGCUCUCGUCCCCUUCUUCAGUGAAAAGACAUUUUAUUUAUUGUUUAAUUAAUCCGAUUAUCAGCACCCUCCUACUACUAAGCAGCUUCCUAAUCCUUGAGUUCUGAGGUGAGGAUUUACAAGGGUCUGAAUGUGGCAGGAAAGUACACAAUCAGUCUAAAUGGGCUCUGUAGUAACCAAUUGUCUAUUACAUAACACAGCAGAUUGCUUACUUGAUCAAGGGUGCGGAAUUUAAAGUUGCAGCAUUCGAGCUGCCAGGCUUUCGACCAAUGUGCUUCUCUUAAUGACGUCUACCCAUCUGUGCUCAAAGCUCACUGGUGUGUUAGUUAAAUGGUAACCAAUCUGUCCUGCAUCUGCAGUGCAGUGAACAAUUCGUUUUAUGACUUUUGCAGAUAGAUAGAAGGCCAUUUCUGUAAAUCAUGUGACAUAUCCUUAACCACAGCUCUUCUUAUAAGGACGUGUGCUAUUGCGUCUUUGUGCAAUGAAGUGA